rnacentral:rRNA from 1 species
AUUGAACGCUGGCGGCAGGCCUAACACAUGCAAGUCGAACGGUAACAGGAAGAAGCUUGCUUCUUUGCUGACGAGUGGCGGACGGGUGAGUAAUGUCUGGGAAACUGCCUGAUGGAGGGGGAUAACUACUGGAAACGGUAGCUAAUACCGCAUAACGUCGCAAGACCAAAAAGGGGGACCUUCGGGCCUCUUGCCAUCGGAUGUGCCCAGAUGGGAUUAGCUAGUAGGUGGGGUAACGGCUCACCUAGGCGACGAUCCCUAGCUGGUGUGAGUGGAUGACCAGCCACACUGGAACUGAGACACGGUCCAGACUCCUACGGGAGGCAGCAGUGGGGAAUAUUGCACAAUGGGCGCAAGCCUGAUGCAGCCAUGCCGCGUGUAUGAAGAAGGCCUUCGGGUUGUAAAGUACUUUCAGCGGGGAGGAAGGGAGUAAAGUUAAUACCUUUGCUCAUUGACGUUACCCGCAGAAGAAGCACCGGCUAACUCCGUG